UACGUAGGGCGCAAGCGUUAUCCGGAAUUAUUGGGCGUAAAGAGCUCGUAGGCGGUUUGUCGCGUCUGCCGUGAAAGUCCGGGGCUCAACUCCGGAUCUGCGGUGGGUACGGGCAGACUAGAGUGAUGUAGGGGAGACUGGAAUUCCAGGUGUAGCGGUGAAAUGCGUAGAUAUCUGGAGGAACACCGGUGGCGAAGGCGGCAUCCUGGACCGGCAUUGGACGCUGAGGAGCGAAAGCCAGGGGAGCAAACGGG
rnacentral:rRNA from 1 species